AGGAGACGCAGAGAGCCACUCGUUUCCGCCAACUUCCCUCAUGUUGUUCAGAGGCCAGAAGGAGGUUGUUGCUGACCGAGUACAGAGCAAACUCUGCGCCGUUUAAAUGGGGACUAACGUUCAGCUGGACGAUUUCAUCGCUGGAUGGAUUGGAGGUGCGGCUAGUGUGAUCGUAGGCCACCCCCUGGACACGGUGAAGACUCGCUUGCAAGCCGGUCACGGUUACACCAACACGGUGCAAUGUGUGCGAACAAUCUUUAAAAACGAACACGUGGCUGGAUUCUUCAAAGGGCUGUCCUUUCCGUUAGCCAGCAUCGCCGUCUAUAACUCGGUGGCACUCGGGGUGUACGGGAAUGCUCAGAGGUUCAUCUGUCGCUAUCGCUACGGGGAGGACCUCCACCAAAGCCCCGCUCUCUCAGACGUGGCGGCUGCCAGCGCCCUGGUGGGUCUUGUCACGGUGGCCAUUGGUGCCCCGGUGGAUUUGGUCAAGAUCAGACUCCAAAUGCAGACACAGAGUGUGAGGCCAGCUAAACUAAACUUGGUUGGUGCGAGUGCCUUGCACUCCCUUGCACUGAAUGAUCAGCCUCUAUACAGGGGGCCUGUGCACCUCAUUAGCAGAAUACUGCGGACCGAAGGCAUUGUUGGACUGUAUCGAGGUGUUGGAGCCAUGUACCUCAGAGAUGUUCCAGGAUAUUGUUUAUACUUUGUUCCUUACAUGUUGCUGUGUGACUGGAUGACACCCGAAGGGAGCAAAGCACCCAAUCUGUUUUGUGUGUGGCUGGCUGGUGGUGUGGCAGAUGAUUCCUCCAUAUCCAGUUCCUCAGACUCGCACCUAAUACCCACCACUGCCUCAGAGGAGGAAAGGGAGGAUGAUGAUGAGGUGCCUGGUGAGGGGAACAAUUUCAUGGGGUACUGCGACUCCCAUGGAUGUUGUCAAAAGUCGCCUUCAAGCGGAUGGAGUCAGUGAGACGAAGUAUAAGGGGAUAGUGCACUGUAUUCAACAGAGCUACCGAAAGGAAGGACUGAAUGUAUUUUUUAGAGGAGCAACUGUGAAUGCUAUCCGUGGAUUUCCUAUGAGUGCAGCCAUGUUUUUGGGAUAUGAGCUUGCACUGAAAGUAUUGCGAGGUCAAUGAGCAGAAAAAUAACAUUUGACUUCUGAUGUUUAUCAAACUUGGCCAGUUACAUAGAUCUAUGCUGAGAUCAACAGUAGAUCAGAUUUAUAAAAAAAGUGACUAGUCUUCCUUGAGUUCUUGAUUUUAAACUGCCAAAACUCAUUGUCAGAAACAACAUCAAGCACUACAGAGCCAACUGGGAAUGAUGGUGUGCUUCAAAUGUGAUGUGCAGUGUUUCCUGGGGAAAAGAGAAUGACUGGAUUAAAGAAAAUCAGCAAACAUUGAGAAGCAAUCCUCAGGAAGGACCAUUACACUUGAAACAUGGACUGAUUAACUGUCGGACAAAGGUUGCCAGACCUGCUGAGUACUUUUGCUUUUUACUGUUUCUGUUUUUAAAUUUUGAGUAGGAGGGAGGGGAGGGAGUUAAUUUGCCAAAGUAUUAGGACAUGAUGAUCAUAGAGAAUUUAUCAGAGUGAAGUUGCCAACUGGAGUUGCCGGUAUUUUUGGAGGUUUCACAGCAUGUUUCCAAUUGAUUGUCCUCCCCCACCCAACUGCCAUUUUAUAACUAAUUUAAAAAUUAUUAAAAAUUAGGAAAAAAGAAUUUUAACACUUUUUUUGAAAUAGUUGCUACAAGCUGUAUCCUGACAAUUUAUCUUUAAUUUCUGGAGGUUCCAGAAUGAUCCUGGCUAUUAGGCUAUCUUAUGUCCAAGUGUUUUUGAUAGAUUCAAUAUACUGAGUUGUUAUAAUUGCAUUACUGCUCUCAGUUUGAUUUAUAUCAGUAAAUCACUGUCAGAGAUGAACCCAUAAUGGGGAAAAAGAAAAUGCAACAGGUUUAUUCUUCAGUAUUCAUAUACUUGAAAAGCUUUUUUGGACUUAAUUUGUUGAGCAUUUCUGAUGAUCAAUUGCAUAAUUAAGUAAGAAGAAUAGGUUAAAUGCUUUAACAUUAUAAGAUGGACAUGAUUGCUGCUAUUUUUCGUGAUGAGUGAAGUAUGAACUGUUAGCUAGGAUCAUUUGGGAGACUGCAAGUAUUUGGGCUAUGCACAAACAUCAGAUACAAAAAUAAUGAUGUUAAUGGCAAAAAGAGUUAAUGCGGGCUUCGUGUGACAACAUACAACUGUAUGACAGGUAGAGAGAAAGAGCAGGGAUUUGGGGAAGGGUAAAUUGAAAUGUAGCAGGGCUGAAGCUGACUAAUUGAACUUUGUUAGACUGAGAAUGCAAUUAAUAUGUUUUGUAUCAAGCAGGAGGUCUCCGGUCUGUAAAACUAAAAAGAUAUAGUAUAACAUAGGUUGUGAAUCAGAUGUUGAUGUGUUUGCACAUGAAAGGGCUAACAUAUAAAGUGUGCAUGAAGGACAGUGGCUGAAAACAGCGUGUGCAAGAGAGGGUGAAGCAAUGAAAUAAAGAAAUAUAAACAGAGUGAAGUGAAAAAGGUGAAGGGAAAAAAAGAGAAUGAGAAAGGUGGGAGAAAUAAAGAAACAGAGUUGAAAGGAGAUUCUGGACAGAGUAGAAAAGGCACAUAAACAGACACACAGGUUUUUUUCUGAUCAAUUUCUCCUUCAAGUCCAGAUUAUUUUUCAUUACCCUUAUGAGCUAAUUUUUGCAAUUGCAUCAAUUUAUGAAAGAGAACAAGGAGGGGAAAUAAUAAAUGGGUGAGAACUUGCAAGAUGGAUGAAUGCACAGACGAGAAAGUCAGACCAAAGGUAUUCUUGGUGUCAGGUAUCAAAAGCAGUUUGCAUUUAUAUUCUGCCUGAAAAACAUUACAUUCAGAAAGCUUGCAUCAUGUGUAGAGAGAAUUAAGUUCAUAGUUGGCAUUCUGUACAAGAAUAAGUGGUUAACAGGGUUAGCUCACUACUUUACCCAGAGAUACAACUCGUACCAACUCCAUAAGUAAAAUACCCACCUACCUUCUGGUGUGAAAGAGGAAUAUGACUCAAAGACAAAAGCCUUUGACUCAUCAUUGGCAUUAGGAUGAUGGACAUAGUGAAUUGGGCUUAUGUCAAUUUGCAAUAGGAUAUAAGUUUCAAUAUUAAUGAGGAAUAAAGCAAAAUAACCAAAGAGGAUUCCCAUGGAGACAUAAAGCGUGGAUGGAGGUCACUGAGCCCAUUAUUAGUUAUUUCAAAGAGCUAACCAAUUAGUCCCAUUAUUGUGUUCUUUCCCCACAUUAUGAAAAUUAUUCCUUAAUAUUUUCAGGUAUUGUACAUACCUUGACUCUAUUUGCUGAUGUAUGCUUAUUAACUGAGAAGCUUUCAUAAAGGAUUAAAGAAACUGAGAUUUGUUCCAUGAGCUGGAAUACUAUGCCUCUCAGUUGUUUUUUUCAGUUGUGGGGCAGAGGAAGUGGGGGCCCAUAUAGCCAAACGCUGCUUGGUCCAUCACUUUCCCACAAACCCCUGAACAAUCCCCAAAAUCUGCAGCCCACCUGCCAUAUUUAAACAAAGAAUUAAAGGUCCAUUGAACUUGUUACCAAGUCAGUUGGCUGGGAUACUGUAUAACAACUGAAAACCAGAUGGCUCACUGGACCCAAACUGUUACCACUUCAUGGAUCCUGCCAGAACUGCUGAGUUUUUCCAGCAAUUUCUGUUUUUGUUUGUGGCUGGGAUACUGUAUUGUCCAGGUCAUGAAAUGUUUGGUGUGUGAAUAAGUAUACAGGAGGGGGCAGUUGAUAUUUUUGAGGUCAAGAUGAAUAAAAGUGAAACAGAAUGUAGGAUGGUGGGACAAAACUCUCAGGGGCGUUCUUUGCUCACGUGGGGAAUUCCCAAUGACGUUACCCUCCCGCUCCCCUACUUUGUUCCUCACCAUCUACUUUCCAAAACCUGGGCUCCCGCCACCCUUGUCUCUCUCCUUCUUGGGCUCUUGGAUCCCUCCUGAUCCCUCUUGAACUCCUGCUCUCCACCUUGUUUGAUCUGCCCGAAGGUUGUCAUGGUUACAGGAUGGGCUUCUUUCAGAUGUGUUAGUCAUUGGCUAACUUUCCUUCUGUGAGCUGUAGUGUACUGUAAUAUUGUCAUCCUUCUUUAUCCAUUAAAAUCUUCUGUCACCUUGGAGUGCCAGUCUUUUUGUAUGUAUUAUAAUACAAUCUGAUUCACUGGCAGAUAAGAAUUGAAAGACUUGAUCUAGGUGCCAACAGACUCAGUGCUAAGAUGCUAAACAUGAUGAACUGUAUUUUGCUGGGUGUACUUUUAAUGGGUGAUUCUGUGAGCACAAUUCUAUCCUAUAACAAAACAAGAUACUUUCUGUUUCCUGUAAAUACGUGCUGGUGAAUUAUCAUAAUUGAAUACUGCUUAAAAAAAUGGUUGGGUGCAGAGAUUAAAUUGGGGAAGUCAGAAGGGUGUUUUUUUUUCACCUGACCUGUUGAUGCUUAUGAUAAGCUAUUUUGUCCUUUAUCCUCUGUAGGUUAGUGAUUUCUAAUGACACUAUGAUCACAUUUACUUGUGUGUUGUAUUUCAGCUGACGAUAUGUUAAAGCAAGAUAAUAUUAUUUAUAUUCUGCACUGUGAAAUAUGUCUAAUUAUAGAGUGUGAGUCAAACAAAUCUUCAAGUCUCAAGUGGAAUUGUUAUUCAAUGUAAAAUGAAAUUGAUAAGAGUUUUGUAAAUCUCUAAUCUUUAUUUGGAUAUGCUGUUGGCAAGCGUUUCCUUGUUACUAAUUUACUGUGAGACAUGUCUUCCAUUAUCUUUUAUCAAAUGAUAAAAUGGAUCUAUUUCAAAAUGUAUUACCUUAUUUCCUUGUAAGUUAGAUACCAUGUAUCUGUCCUCUAUAUCACUGAUGUGAGUACUGUUUAUGACUGGCCAGAAGUGGCUUUUUCUGUCUAGAAAGUAAUUACUUUGCUGUUUGUACAUUUUAUCCUAUUUGCGAUUUUGGAGAACAUUGGACAACGCAUUCAGAAACAACGGGUACCCGAUAAGCGCAGUCCGCCGAUUCCUACACACAGACCUUAACAAGAAGACACAACAUGCCCAGAAACUCUAGCCACCCUGCCAUACAUUAAAGACACCUUGGAGAUGAUGAUCAGACUACUCUGGCCCCUAGGCAUCAUGGUAGCCAACAAACCUACCACCACACAAACAGCUCCUGAUGAAUUUAAAGGACCCUGUACCAACAACGAGCAGUGUGCAUGUCAUAUUCAAAAAUACCCUACAAGGACUGCAACAAAUAUUACAUUGGACGGAGGGGCAGGAAACUAGCCACCAGGAUACAUGAGCACCAACUAGA